CCCAGACUCCUACGGGAGGCAGCAGUGGGGGAUAUUGCACAAUGGGAGGAACCCUGAUGCAGCGACGCCGCGUGGGUGAAGAAGCGCCUCGGCGCGUAAAGCCCUGUCAGCAGGGAAGAAAAUGACGGUACCUGAAGAAGAAGCCCCGGCUAACUACGUGCCAGCAGCCGCGGUAAUACGUAGGGGGCAAGCGUUAUCCGGAUUUACUGGGUGUAAAGGGGGCGCAGACGGCGAUGCAAGCCAGGAGUGAAAGCCCGGGGCCCAACCCCGGGACUGCUCUUGGAACUGCGUGGCUGGAGUGCAGGAGGGGCAGGCGGAAUUCCUGGUGUAGCGGUGAAAUGCGUAGAUAUCAGGAGGAACACCGGCGGCGAAGGCGGCCUGCUGGACCGUGACUGACGUUGAGGCUCGAGAGCGUGGGGAGCAAACAGGAUUAGAUACCCGAGUAC
rnacentral:rRNA from 1 species